rnacentral:ncRNA from 1 species
UUAACAGUAAUGAAGGGGAAGAGUAAGAGGUCAAUAAGUUAUUCAGGGAGGAAAGGUCAUUGACUGAAAGCCUUUUCAAGAACUUUGCCUGUUGAAUUUCACCCCUGAACUGCAGCUGAACGUAAAAUACCAGUAGGUGUAGCCGGUUUUUUCCACCGUUAUCGGGAGAAAGGUUUUAAUACCUGGAUUUUUAAGUGGUUUGCCGGUAUUCUUGAGGCAGACAAACAGGGUGGUACCGCGGAAUAUUUCCGUCCCUAAU